rnacentral:rRNA from 1 species
UACGGGGGGUGCUAGCGUUAUUCGGAAUCAUUGGGCGUAAAGGGCGCGUAGGCGGUCUCUUAAGUCAGAUGUGAAAGCCCUCGGCUUAACCGAGGAAGUGCAUUUGAAACUAAGGGACUUGAGUAUGGGAGAGGGAAGCGGAAUUCCUGGUGUAGCGGUGAAAUGCGUAGAUAUCAGGAGGAACACCGGUGGCGAAGGCGGCUUCCUGGACCAAUACUGACGCUGAGGCGCGAAAGCGUGGGAAGCAAACAGG